UACGAAGGGGGCUAGCGUUGCUCGGAAUCACUGGGCGUAAAGCGCACGUAGGCGGAUUGUUAAGUCAGGGGUGAAAUCCUGGAGCUCAACUCCAGAACUGCCUUUGAUACUGGUUAUCUUGAGUCCGGGAGAGGUGAGUGGAACUCCGAGUGUAGAGGUGAAAUUCGUAGAUAUUCGGAAGAACACCAGUGGCGAAGGCGGCUCACUGGCCCGGUACUGACGCUGAUGUGCGAAAGCGUGGGGAGCAAACAGG
rnacentral:rRNA from 1 species